rnacentral:lncRNA from 1 species
GCCCACAGGAACAAAGUCCUGAUGCCCUUUCUGUUAAUGUUUGAAUAAGCCAAUAGUGUGUCGCUAUGCUAAAUUCCACACCCCUAAGCCCCUUACCCCAUAAAAACCCCUAGCUUUCAAGCCUCGUGGCCGACAUCUGUUAUCUCCUGUGUGGGAUGCAUGUCAGUCCAGAGCUCCGUCCGUCAUUAAACGUCCUCAUGUAAUUACAUCAAGAGAUGGUCCUUCGUGAUUUUUUGGGUGCACGCUGAAUCAGGAGUUGGGUGGGGGUUUCCCCACUAGAUAUAACAAGUUCAAAGUCACAUCUGUCUUCCUAGCAACAUGAAACUUGUGUGGAAUUUGAUUGUUCAAAGGACUAUCAUUGAAUAGAUAUUGCAAGAUGUUCAAAUACACAAGAAGAAAUUCUGCCUCUAAAAGUCUUGAGUUUUUUGCUUCAUUAGUGUUUUUCCUUACAUAAGAAACCGAGAAAUUAAAUUAUUUUCAUGAUAUCUGCCUUAGAUCUAAAACUUAGAAAAAACAAAAAACCUGUUUUUAGGAUGAGAACAAGUAGAGAAUCGGCCAAAAAAUAAUGCAGAAAGAGAGAGACCUUGGAAUAUUCAGUCCUAAGUGGGGUGUCUCCAUCAAAUCCCUCCCUUCAGAGCUCAGGGAACCCCACAGAGGAAGAGGCAGAAGGAGUGUGGGAACCAAAGGUGAUGGAGGAGAGCAGGAGAACAAGGCCCUGUAAAUGAAGUGAACAAAGCUGAUAUAAACUCACAGAGACUGAGGCAGCGUGCACCCAUUUUCUUUUAACAUUGCAGAAUUCAGAGAUUUGCACAGAAGAUUCAUCUCCGUGCUUUGAACUUGUGUGGAAAUUAGUCCUUUUGGAACCGUAAAGAUCGAGAUACCAAGUUAAUGGCCACUCGUGAAGCUCCAGAAGAACAUCAAAGAAUUCAAUGAUGCAGACCACUUUAUGGAAGUCAAAGAUGAAAUACUGGCUUCAGACGACUUCUGCUUCAGCACCUGCCACAAACUUCCGCAAAGGUAAAGAGAAGAGAAUCAAAUCGCAUUAUAUGCUGGAGAUGCAGGACAAGUAAACACAGCAAACAUGUUGAGCAGAUCAAGUCUCAUACAGCUACAACACAGAAGCUGACGUCCUUGUCUGUGCCACUGAGCUAGGAGAUUAACUCCAACUUCUAAUACGGUGUAUCUGAAACUGGAUUCAGAUUUGAACACCUCUUCAAGAGGUAGUCACUGAUCCUUGAGGUGAGUGGGACCCUGAUCCUCCCCAGUGUCCAAGUUUCACAGCAGAAUAACCUUGAAGACCUUUUCUUUAAACCCUCACUAGAAGCGCUUGUUGGUAGAAGU